CCUACGGGAGGCAGCAGUGGGGCAUAUUGCACAAUGGGGGAAACCCUGAUGCAGCGACGCCGCGUGAGUGAAGAAGUAUUUCGGUAUGUAAAGCUCUAUCAGCAGGGAAGAAAAUGACGGUACCUGACUAAGAAGCCCCGGCUAACUACGUGCCAGCAGCCGCGGUAAUACGUAGGGGGCAAGCGUUAUCCGGAUUUACUGGGUGUAAAGGGAGCGUAGACGGCAGAGCAAGUCUGAAGUGAAAGCCCGGGGCCCAACUGCGGGACUGCUUUGGAAACUGCCCGGCUAGAGUGCUGGAGAGGUAAGCGGAAUUCCUAGUGUAGCGGUGAAAUGCGUAGAUAUUAGGAGGAACACCAGUGGCGAAGGCGGCUUACUGGACAGUAACUGACGUUGAGGCUCGAAAGCGUGGGGAGCAAACAGGAUUAGAUACCCUUGUAGUC
rnacentral:rRNA from 1 species